CAACCACUUGGAAGGGGAGGGUGUUGCGCAGGGAUGCGUCACUUCAUUAACCUUUUUACUUUUUUUUUUCCCCCAGAAUGUUCCAAGAAGCAUGGUAUUCUACAACCUUAAUUCUAUCUGACAUCUGUUCCAUACCUCUCACUGCAUUAAGUAGUCCAUCUUCUUCAAAGAAAAUUGCUGAUAUUUGCGGCACACCGAGGAGAUAAUAGCGGCACACCCUUUGAGAAUCACUGCACUAAGGGAAUAGCAGCCCACGACUUUACUGUGAGCACAGAGGGAUGGCACCGUCCUGCAGACAAUUGGCACGGCACACAAGACGGAGGGAGCUGUGGCCUGCUGCCCCCAAAUCGUGACCCGCCGCGGAGGACUCAGCCAGUGGGAGAGAGGAACCACAACAAUCCUCCGGCGGGGAGGAGGUACCACGAAAACGGGGCCAGCAGGAGGUUAAAGGAAGGGUGGCAGCUGUUCUAGCUACUGCCUCCCCCCAACCCCCUCAAUGGAUAAGCAGCAAAUCCAACAGUGCAGCUUCACUACAUCUAGAACUAUGUGAACAUAUG